rnacentral:tRNA from 1 species
GCCCGGGUGGCGGAAUUGGCAGACGCGCAAGCUUGAGGUGCUUGUGUCCAACUAUCGGACGUGCUGGUUCAAAUCCAGUCCCGGGCA